AGUUCGGAUUGAAGGCUGAAAUUCGCCUUCAUGAAGCUGGAAUUGCUAGUAAUGGCAGGUCAGCAUACUGCCGUGAAUACGUUCCCGGGCCCUUGUACACACCGCCCGUCACACCAUGAGAGUUGGAAAUACCCGAAGCCUGUGAGCUAACUGUAAAGAGGCAGCAGUCGAAGGUAGAGCCAAUGAUUGGGGUGAAGUCGUAACAAGGUAAC
rnacentral:rRNA from 1 species